GAUGAACGCUGGCGGCGUGCUUAACACAUGCAAGUCGAACGGUCGUAGCAAUACGAUAGUGGCGCACGGGUGAGGAACACGUAGCUAACCUGCCCCAAGUACGGAUAACUUCCCGAAAGGGAUGCUAAUACCGUAUAAGCUCACGCCGAGUAGGUAGGUGUGAGAAAAGGUUUACUGCUUGGGGAGGGGGCUGCGGCCCAUCAGGUAGUUGGUGAGGUAACGGCUCACCAAGCCGACGACGGGUAGGGGGUCUGAGAGGAUGGCCCCCCACACUGGGACGUGAGACACGGCCCAGACUCCUACGGGAGGUAGCAGUGAGGGA
rnacentral:rRNA from 1 species